rnacentral:tRNA from 2 species
GCCCCCGUUGUGUAGCGGCCUAGCACGCCGCCCUCUCACGGCGGUAGCGCCGGUUCAAAUCCGGUCGGGGGUA